GGGUCUCACUCUGUUGCCCAGGCUGGAGUGCAGUGAUGCGAUCUUGGCUCACUGAAACCUCCACCUCCCAAGUUUAAGUGAUUCUCCUGCCUCAGCCUCUGGAGUAGCUGGGACGACAGGUGCUAACCACCACAUCCAGCUAAUUAUUGUUUAGUAGAGACAGGAUUUCACCAUGUUGGUUGGCCAGGCUGGACUCAAGUGAUCCACCUGCCUCAGCCUCCCAAAGUGCUGGGAUUACAGGUAUGAGCCACUGUGCCCGGCCUUAAGGCACAUAAUUUAUUUUUAAGGGUUUCUUUAAAGAGUUCACAUGUUGUCACUACUGUGAAUAAAAUAGUUU
rnacentral:lncRNA from 10 species